rnacentral:rRNA from 1 species
GACGAACGCUGGCGGUGUGCUUAACACAUGCAAGUCGAACGGAAAGGCCCUGCUUUUGUGGGGUGCUCGAGUGGCGAACGGGUGAGUAACACGUGAGUAACCUGACCUUGACUUUGGGAUAACUUAAGGAAACUGGGGCUAAUACCGGAUAGGAGCUCCUGCGGCAUGGUGGGGGUUGGAAAGUUUCGGCGGUUGGGGAUGGACUCGCGGCUUAUCCGCUUGUUGGUGGGGUAGUGGCUUACCAAAGCUUUGACGGGUAGCCGGCCUGCGUGGGUGACCGGCCACAAUGGGGAUGAGAUACGGGCCAGACUCCUACGGGAGGCAGCAGUGGGGAAUAUUGCACAAUGGGCGGAAGCCUCAUUCAGCAACGCCGCGUGCGGUAUAGCGGCCUUCGGGUUGUAGACCGCUUUCUCCUGUGACGAAGCGUGAGUGACGGUAAUGGGUAAAGAAGCACCGGCUAACUACGUG